rnacentral:lncRNA from 1 species
AGUGAAGUUAACAUUCAUUCCUAGGAGGAAACAUAUCACAAUGGGGAGGAGGGGGGAACAAUGCCCUUUUACUCAGAAAUGUCUGUGGAAUUCAAUCCAGUAAUAUGUGAGCUAUGCUGCAGGGUGAGUAACAUGGAACUUGUAGAAAGCCAAGAGUAGGAUUGCAACAUCUUCUUGUGAAGCAGGAAGAGAAACCUUGUACCCACCCCGAAUCCACCUGUUGAAUUCUAUUUUAUAAUGGGUUUUCCUAGGCAAUGCUCGUAGGGCUACCAAACGAACAGGUGGAAGUACAUCUCUACGGCCUCUGUUGUUAUGGAGAAAAUGGAGCCUCAAAGGAGAGUGUACAUAUCCCUCCCUAAAAAAUACAUGGCUGCUUUGGCCGAAAAGUGUAAACUGGAUCACGGGCUUGUCAUUAAGGAUCUCAUCACUAACAUAAAUGAAGGAUACCUACAAGCUUACUUCCGACAGUGGGGCAGCAUUACAGCAUGCACGAUCAAGAAGACUCCACAGAACUCUGACUCAAAGAGUGCCAGUGCGUUGGGAUACGUGAGGUUUUCCUCUGAUGAGGAGGCAGAUACGGCAGACUGGGCGGGUCCUCACUAUAUAGGAGGCAUGGAGGUGGAGGUCAAGAGAGUUGUCAGUCUGAAGAUGGAUGACCCAGAAGGUUGAGGUCAGCCCAGCCAGGUCUAUCCGUGGACGGUCCAUGGGUCUGAUCAUCAAUUGAGCAUCUUCGAGAAUGUAUCAGAGACUGGAUGAUACUGUACCGACAUUAUUUAAAAAAAAAUCACAACUGGAUGGGAUGCAUGAUUAUUUGUUGAAAAAUAAAUGUAGAUUAUAAUUUUUUUUCUAUGAUUUGGUUUGAUUGUAUCAAUUUGUUUUCAGAUGUCUUAUGUACCUUGAUUUACUGAUUUGUAAUGAAAUGCCAAUUGUUUUCAAUGUUGUAAAUAUUAUAAGGCCUAUGUUGCAUCAUAUUCUGUUUUGUAAUUUGAGUAAGUUUAACUUUUAGUAGAAUAACCAAAGAUAUUACUAGAAAGGGACAUUUCCUAAAGAAAAUGUGUGUUUGGUAGAAGUAUUUAUAAUAGUGACAGCAGUAGUAGUAAUGAUUGAUUGAUCACAUUUAUAGGGCCCUGUAAAUCCGCGAUGUGGAGAACGCUGACAGAUUCCGGACAUUAAAAUGGAAUUGAACAAUGUUCAAAAAUGUAUAUAACUUAGUAGGGAAUCAACAAAAUGUAGCCUAUUGAUAAUUAAUAAAUUUGAACAAGAUUAUCAUGCCAUAUGACAUGCACACAAUGCAUUUGUGAUUCGUAUUUUCUGCAAACUUCUAGAGGGCAAUGAGAAUUGCAUUCGCCAUCACACUGCGCUAUCCAAUCUGGACAAGAGGAAUACCUAUUUAAGAAUGCUGUUCAUUGACUACAGCUCAGCAUUCAACACCAUAGUACCCUCCAAGCCCAUCAUUAAGCUUGAGCCCUGGGUCGAUGGGACCGCAGCGGAAAAGGUGUAAAGUUUUUUUUUAAGUUCCUCUGUGUACACAUCACGGACAAACUGAAAUGGUCCACGCGCACAGACAGUGGGGUGAGAAGGCACAACAGUGCCUCUUCAACCUCAGGAGGCUGAAGAAAUUUGGCUUGUCACCUAAAACCCUCACAAACAUUUACAGAUGCACAAUUGAGAGCAUCCUGUCUGGCUGUAUCACCGCCUGGUACGGCAACUGCACCGCCCAUAACCGCAGGGCUCUCCAGAGGGUGGUGCACAACACAUCACCAGGGGAAAACUACCUGCCCUCCAGGACACCAGCUACAGCACCCGAUGUCACAGGUUUGCCAAAAAGAUCAUCAAGGACAACAACCACCCGAGCGACUGCCUGUUCCCCCCGCUACCAUCCAGAAGGCAAGGUCAGUACAAAGCUGGGACCGGGAGACAGAAGCUAUUUCUCAAUCUCAAGGCCAUCAGACUGUUAAACAGCCAUCACUACACAGAGAGGCUGCUGCCUACCUACAGACUUGAUAUCAUUGGCCACUUUUAAUAAAUGGAUCACUAGUCACUUUAAUAAUGGCACUUUAAUGUUUACAUAUCUUGCAUUACUCAUCUCAUAUGUAUAAACUGUAUUUUAUACCAUCUAUUGCAUCUUGCCUAUGCCGCUCUGUCAUUGCUCAUCCAUAUAUUUAUAUAUUCUUAUUCCAUUCCUUUAUUUAGAUUUGUGUGCAUAAGGUAGUUGUGGAAUUGUUAGAUUACUUGUUAGAUAUUGCUGCACUGUCGGAACUAGAAGCACAAGCUUUUCGCAAUAACAUCUGCUAACCAUGUGUAUGUGACGAAUAACAUUUGAUUUGAUUUGAAUUCCUUGUCUGUAUGUGUGGUGCGCAAGCCUGCCACUUUGUGUAGCUGUUAGCGAGGAUUCUAAUGAAAAGUCUUCUGGUAGAUGGAAAGGCUUUCCCAUAAACCUUUUCAAUUAGAUGUUAACUACAAAGUAGCCUAUGCUUACCUUACCAAUCAAUACAGUGGGUAUUUGUUUUGCGAACACUGCCAUCACGUGCGCACUACAAAAACACUUCUAAACUGCCUCUUGCUACUGUAGGUACACACUGGAAUUAAAGGGUAAAUACAAAGGGUAUAUACCCCAAAUCAAAAAUUUGCUAAAGAAAUCCAGACCUCAAAAGUGGUCUCUUGAUGUUGUUUUGCUUUGGACUUAGAACAUCAAAUGAAAUUGUAUUAGUCACAUGCGCCGAAUUCAACAGGUGUAGACUGUCAUGACGUUGGCCUGUGGGUAAGGUUUAUGACCCCCCCCCCAUAAAUACCUUUCUCCCUUCCCCUCUCUGACCCUACUGAAGGACUUGAAUAGCCUGUGUUAAAUAUAGAGAGUCUGGGAA